GCGCUUAAUAAACACCAACAUUAUCAUCAUCACCUCCCCCAGCGCUUCGAUCGGUGCUCGGCACCUAGAAAGCGCUUAACAAACACCCCCAUCAUCAUCAUCUCCCCUAACGUUCAGAAGCGUGCUCGGCCGCUCGCAAGCGCUGGACAAAGCGGCCCCCGUUAUCACCAUCACCUCCCCCCGCGCCUCGAAAGGGCGGGAGAAAGGGCACCGUGCCCAUGGCGACCGUUUCCACGGAAACGAGGGGCGGGGCGGGGCUCCUCCCCGGGCUGCCUCAGUUUCCCGCCGCCCGUGGGGCCCCGCGCGGGGCCGGCCCUCCCUCCCUCCCUCCCCCCCCUCCACGAAGCGCUGUGCGCCUACCGCUCGUCGUCGUCGUCGUCGUCGUCGUCGUCGUCGUCCUCCCUCCCUCCUCCCUCCGCCUCAGGCUCCCGCCCGCUCCCGGCCUGCCCCGCGCGCCCACGUGCCGCGCCCCUUCCGCCCGGCGCGCGGCGCGCGCAGCCGGCCGGGGGCCUUCCGGGUCGGGGCGGCCGCGGCGGCCGCUGGGUAACCGCCUCCUCCCCCCCCCCUCCCCGCCCGCCCCCGGGGCGCGCGCGCGCGCGCGCGCGGCCUCCCUCCCCCUCCUCCCCCGCCCCCGCGCCCCCGGCCCUCCACCAAUCAGCGGGCCGGCAGGGAGGGACAUGCGCAGUGGGCGCCUCCCCUCUCCUCCAGCCCAGCCCCCCCCCCACCUCCUCCUCCUGUCUCUCUCUCCUGUCUCUCCCUCCUGUCUCUCCUGUCUCUCCUGUCUCUCCCCCCUCCCCUCCCUUUCCCCCCCCCACCCCCCCACCCCCCCUUGCAGCAGCAGCAGCAGAGGAGGAGGAUGAGGAGGAGGAGGGGAGAGAGGCAGGCUGGGGGGGGCCUCCUUUGAUUGCUCUUUUUUUUUCCCAAGGACCAGCCCCCCCCCCCCACCCAGUUGGAGCCCCCCCCCCCCACUUCCACCUUGAAUUGGGGGGGGGGGGUGAGGGUGGGGAGGAUGCAGGGCAGGACAGGCCCACUUGCCACCCUCCACCCCUGAGCCCUGGGGGGGUGGGGGGGAGGGAAGAGAGAGAGCCAAGGAAGAAGAGGAGCAGUUCUUUUUCUUCUUCUGCCCCCCCCAUCCUCUUCCUCCUCCCUGCAGCCCCCCAGGAUUGGAAGGGGGAGCCCCAAAGCCUCCUAGCAACCCAGCCUGGGCUGCUGCUUGGUCCUGGCUGGAGACACUCACAGACUCACACACACACACACACACACACACACACACACACAUCUCUACUGGGAGACCCAGGAAAAGCCACUCCUCCCCACCCCCUUCCCUCUCCCCCCCCCUUUAUUACCCUUUGUGUCAUCCUCCACAGCUCCAGGGAUGAGGGACUCUGGAAGUGGGGAGCAGGAAAGGUUGGAUUUGCGAAUCUGAUGCCUCAAGACGUGGAAAUGCCACCGGUCUUUUCGGCUUCCCUGUCUUCUUCCAGGCUCGGCCCUCCAUAACGGUUGGAAAUAGGAACUGGUAGAAACUGGACAUUUACUGGUAGAAACUGGACGUGUCGGUAAAUGAUCAGAAGUCACUGUUGGAAAACUUCCUCUGAUUUUAGCUUCGCGGAAGGCCAGGGCUCUCCAUCGCGACUGUGCUGGGUUGGGUACCGCUCUGAAUUUUAAAGUAAAUUAUUUAUUUAGUG
rnacentral:lncRNA from 1 species